rnacentral:antisense_RNA from 1 species
GCCCGACAAUCACACUGACUAGCCAACAUCAUAGGACCCCUGCAAUCCAGGCCAUCGCAGGCCAAGGUUUUUGAAGGAAGCCCUCAAAGAAAGGAAGACCCUUUUAUUAUCUGGAUUCAUCCUUGGCCAUCAGUGGUGGUGAAAGCAACAGAUGUCAGAUGUCAGCCCCGGCUUCCUGCCUUACCGUAGAGGGAUAUUCAACAGACUGGAUAGAUCACUCAUCCGGGGGAAGCCAGGUGUCAUAUCUUGGGGAAUCCAGGUGUUACGUCUUAAGGACAGGCUGGCAGACCUGUGCAUAGGCCUAUGUGGCGAGAAACUAGACCCUCAGCUCAAGACACUGAAAGAAACCUCAUGAAACAGCUUGAAGCUCUGACCCUGAACCACCUAGCUAAACCGCUCUUAGAUACCUGAUUCUCAGAUACUAUUGAGAAAAUAAACAAUAAUUGUUUUA